rnacentral:misc_RNA from 1 species
GAAAUGCGAUAAGUAAUGUGAAUUGCAGAAUUCAGUGAAUCAUCGAAUCUUUGAACGCACAUUGCGCCCGCCAGUAUUCUGGCGGGCAUGCCUGUUCGAGCGUCAUUACAACCCUCAGGCCCCCGGGCCUGGCGUUGGGGAUCGGCGGAAGCCCCCUGCGGGCACAACGCCGUCCCCCAAAUACAGUGGCGGUCCCGCCCAGCUUCCAUUGCGUAGUAGCUAACACCUCGCAACUGGAGAGCGGCGCGGCCACGCCGUAAAACACCCAACUUCUGAAUGUUGACCUCGAAUCAGGUAGGAAUACCCGCUGAACUUAAGC